UGUUUCUUGUUUGUAUUUGUAGUCUGGAUAUCAUUUAAAACAAGUUGCGCCUCAUUCUUUUACUUGUCAGAAGCUUAGUCAAAUUUCAGUACACAUACAUCACAAAGAUGAUUCUAAAGAGCCCAUUCCUUCUGUUCUGUUGUCUUUGAGUGGUGACAAUGGUUAUAGAAACAACUCAGUAUCAGGAGCUGGUAGGACAUUCCUGUUUGACAAUUUGUUUCCUGGAAUGUUUUAUUUGCGUCCUGUUUUGAAGAGUAAAUUAUCGGGCAAUUAUGUAAGAAUAGUUCAAAGUGAGUACUCUGAAUCACGUCAAAGGACUUUAGAUAGAGCUUAUGAUGAAAUUAAAUAUUUAAGUUUUGGCCUUGGAGUUAAUGAUGAACGUAUGGCUGAACAAGCUUUGACCUUUUAUAAAGUAAGGACCAGUUUUGACUUACUCAUUUUAAACUUGAUUUCUAUUUAUUUGC